UGGCGUUUGCAUGGCUACUGAGCCUUACUGAUAGGACCCCGAAAGGUGGUGAACUUUGCCUGCACAGGUUGAAGUCAGGGGAAACUCUGAUGGAGGACCGUACGGGUUAUUGAUGUGCAAAUCAUUUUUCUGAUGUAGGUAAAGGUGCGAAAGACUCAUCGAACCACCUAAUAGCUGGUUUCCUCCGAAGUUUCCCUCAGGAUAGCUGUAAUGCAUUUAGUUAAGGGGAGUAGAGAUAUGGGUAGAGGUGCAGGGAGCCUUCGGGUUCUCAACUUAUUUCCAAACUUCGAACCUCCUUGUUAGGCAUUUACCUAACUGGAAAUGCUUAAAUGAAUUAGCGUUACAAGUGGGCUCUGACCGGUAAGCGGUCAUGGCGAAAUGGGAUGAACCAUACGUCUGAAUAAGGUGCCGAAAUGUACUAUCACUGAUACCAUAAAGGGAGUCCAUGUAUUUAGACAGCAGGUCGGUGCCCCUAAAAGCAGGUAUCCGCUAAAGAGUGUGUUAAAACUCACCUGCCGAAUACUAGGGCCCCGAAAAUGAAUGGCGCAUAUAGUACUACCGAUCUCAGACAUCAGUUCUAUUGAACUGAGAGUAGGGGGAUGUGGACAUUUUUGUGAAGGUGCAAUGUGAGUUGGACUGGAAGAAUGUCUAUUACAGAUCCUAAUUGAAGUAGC
rnacentral:ncRNA from 1 species